GCCUUUGUGGUGUAAUGGUAACACACUCAGCGCGUAUUCGAGUGGUCCAGGUUUGAAUCCUGGCGAACGCA
rnacentral:tRNA from 1 species